GGGUAGGUAGCUCAGGUGGUAGAGCACCGCACUGAAAAUGCGGGUGUCGUGGGUUCAACUCCCACCCUGCCCACCA
rnacentral:tRNA from 1 species